GCCAGUGUGGUGCAGUCGUUUGAGAGCUGGACUACAGCUCUGGAGAUCAGGGUUCGAUUCCCUGCUCGAACA